AAGCGUUUAUGACCAGACUUGGGCUUGGUUAAUCAUCUGGGGUUCUCCCCAGUGCACUUUUCCAGUCCAGGCCAGCAUCAGUUUUCCCCGGGGGAUAAAGGCGGCGGGAAUGUGGCUCUCUUCGGGGAGUGUUAUAGCCCG
rnacentral:rRNA from 1 species